UACAGAGGGGGCAAGCGUUGUUCGGAAUUACUGGGCGUAAAGGGCGCGUAGGCGGCCUGUUAAGUCGAACGUGAAAUCCCUGGGCUCAACCCAGGAACUGCGUCCGAUACUGGCAGGCUUGAAUUCGGGAGAGGGAUGCGGAAUUCCAGGUGUAGCGGUGAAAUGCGUAGAUAUCUGGAGGAAUACCGGUGGCGAAGGCGGCAUCCUGGACCGGCAUUGACGCUGAGGAGCGAAAGCUAGGGGAGCAAACGGG
rnacentral:rRNA from 1 species